AGACCCUCUGCUCCUCUUCGUCUCUUAAAGUAAGGACUUUGAGGAGCUUAGCUUUUUCUUCGUCCUUGUUCUGUCUCAACUUGUUUUCCUUGGGAUCCAAUCUCAAUUCUUCCAUCAUUUUUCAGCUACUGGUCUAGAGUCUUCUUUUCUUCUUCGAAGCUACUGAUUUGAGAUCUACCUCAUGGAUUCGUGUGGAACGCAUACGGUUUAAAGCCACAAUACUGGAGUAACAGUCGACGGAAUUUAACAAGAUUUUUAGAACCUUGGGAUCCAAUCUCAAUUCUUCCAUCAUUUUUCAGCUACUGGUCUAGAGUCUUCUUUUCUUCUUCGAAGCUACUGAUUUGAGAUCUACCUCAUGGAUUCGUGUGGAACGCAUACGGUUUAAAGCCACAAUACUGGAGUAACAGUCGACGGAAUUUAACAAGAUUUUUAGAACGAUCAAGAUCUGGGUUCACUGAUUCAGACAGAAAACGAAACCGAUGACAAAGAAUACUCACAAUUCACAAACAAAACAAUCUCCAUUCUCUACCAAAUUUGGCAGCGACAACAUCUUAUCAGUUCCCUUAUGCAGCAAACUAACCAAAAUCCAAUUCCAAUUUGCUUUCCAUUUCUCAGCUUUGAAUUUCUGUAUCUGUUUCUCUGCAAUAACAACCGUUGAGAAUGGCAGCGACGAUUUUGUCUUCGACGAUGUUCGUAAUCUCAGCCUUCUGCUCCUCUUCGUCUCUUAAAGUAAGGACUUUGAGGAGCUUAGCUUUUUCUUCGUCCUUGUUCUGUCUCAACUUGUUUUCCUUGGGAUCCAAUCUCAAUUCUUCCAUCAUUUUUCAGCUACUGGUCUAGAGUCUUCUUUUCUUCUUCGAAGCUACUGAUUUGAGAUCUACCUCAUGGAUUCGUGUGGAACGCAUACGGUUUAAAGCCACAAUACUGGAGUAACAGUCGACGGAAUUUAACAAGA